AAACCCUCAAGCCUCGCUUGGUAUUGGGCGUCGGGGACUCCCCGCGCCUCCAUUUCGCCGGCUGGCCGUCGUUUGACUUAGCGUUGUGACACAUGUCGCUAACGACGAAGACGGACCGCGCCGUGAGAACUCUCUUGGAUGUCUGACAUCCAGUACA
rnacentral:misc_RNA from 1 species